UUGAACGCUGGCGGCAUGCCUUACACAUGCAAGUCGAACGGUAGAGGGGCAAUCCUCGAGAGUGGCGAACGGGUGAGUAAUGUAUCGGAACGUGCCCCGUAGUGGGGGAUGGCCCGGCGAAAGCCGGAUUAAUACCGCAUGAGACCUGAGGGUGAAAGCGGGGGACUCGCAAGAGCCUCGCGCUACUGGAGCGGCCGAUAUCAGAUUAGGUAGUUGGUGGGGUAAAGGCCUACCAAGCCUGCGAUCUGUAGCUGGUCUGAGAGGACGACCAGCCACACUGGGACUGAGACACGGCCCAGACUCCUACGGGAGGCAGCAGUGGGGAAUUUUGGACAAUGGGCGCAAGCCUGAUCCAGCAAUGCCGCGUGCAGGAUGAAGGCCUUCGGGUUGUAAACUGCUUUUGUACGGAACGAAACGGUUCUCUUUAAUAAAGAGGGCUAAUGACGGUACCGUAAGAAUAAGCACCGGCUAACUACGU
rnacentral:rRNA from 1 species